AAAAGGCGGCGUAAGCUGUCGCUAAAGGAUGGACCCGCGGUGCAUUAGCUAGUUGGUAAGGUAACGGCUUACCAAGGCGACGAUGCAUAGCCGAGUUGAGAGACUGAUCGGCCACAUUGGGACUGAGACACGGCCCAAACUCCUACGGGAGGCAGCAGUAGGGAGUCUUCCACAAUGGGCGAAAGCCUGAUGGAGCAACGCCGCGUGAGUGAAGAAGGUUUUCGGACCGUAAAGCUCUGUUGUUGGUGAAGAAGGAUAGAGGUAGUAACUGGCCCCUAUUUGACGGUAAUCAACCAGAAAGUCACGGCUAACUACGUGCCAGCAGCCGCGGUAAUACGUAGGUGGCAAGCGUUGUCCGGAUUUAUUGGGCGUAAAGCGAGCGCAGGCGGAAAGAUAAGUCUGAUGUGAAAGCCCCCGGCUUAACCGAGGAAUUGCAUCGGAAACUGUGUUUCUUGAGUGCAGAAGAGGAGAGUGGAACUCCAUGUGUAGCGGUGGAAUGCGUAGAUAUAUGGAAGAACACCAGUGGCGAAGGCGGCUCUCUGGUCUGUAACUGACGCUGAGGCUCGAAAGCAUGGGUAGCGAACAGGAUUAGAUACCCUGGUAGUCCAUGCCGUAAACGAUGAGUGCUAAGUGUUGGGAGGUUUCCGCCUCUCA
rnacentral:rRNA from 1 species